GGAUGAACGCUGGCGGCGUGCCUAAUACAUGCAAGUCGAGCGAACGGACGAGAAGCUUGCUUCUCUGAUGUUAGCGGCGGACGGGUGAGUAACCCGUGGAUAACCUACCUAUAAGACUGGGAUAACUUCGGGAAACCGGAGCUAAUACCGGAUAAUAUUUUGAACCGCAUGGUUCAAAAGUGAAAGACGGUCUUGCUGUCACUUAUAGAUGGAUCCGCGCUGCAUUAGCUAGUUGGUAAGGUAACGGCUUACCAAGGCAACGAUGCAUAGCCGACCUGAGAGGGUGAUCGGCCACACUGGAACUGAGACACGGUCCAGACUCCUACGGGGGGCAGCAGUAGGGAAUCUUCCGCAAUGGGCGAAAGCCUGACGGAGCAACGCCGCGUGAGUGAUGAAGGUCUUCGGAUCGUAAAACUCUGUUAUUAGGGAAGAACAUAUGUGUAAGUAACUGUGCACAUCUUGACGGUACCUAAUCAGAAAGCCACGGCUAACUACGUG
rnacentral:rRNA from 1 species